rnacentral:rRNA from 1 species
GAUGAACGCUGGCGGCGUGCCUAAUACAUGCAAGUCGAGCGAACAGAUGAGGAGCUUGCUCCUCUGACGUUAGCGGCGGACGGGUGAGUAACACGUGGAUAACCUACCUAUAAGACUGGGAUAACUUCGGGAAACCGGAGCUAAUACCGGAUAAUUUAUUGAACCCCAUGGUUCAAUAUUGAAAGACGUUUUGCCUUUCACUUAUGAAGGAAUCCGCGCCGCAUUAGCUAGUUGGUAAGGUAACGGCUUACCAAGGCAACGAUGCGUAGCCGACCUGAGAGGGUGAUCGGCCACACUGGAACUGAGACACGGUCCAGACUCCUACGGGAGGCAGCAGUAGGGAAUCUUCCGCAAUGGGCGAAAGCCUGACGGAGCAACGCCGCGUGAGUGAUGAAGGUCUUCGGAUCGUAAAACUCUGUUAUUAGGGAAGAACAAAUGUGUAAGUAACUAUGCACGUCUUGACGGUACCUAAUCAGAAAGCCACGGCUAACUACGUG